UAGUGUGGAGAUUACUACAAUAGCAUUAUGGAAAAAAUAAAUGGAAAACUAAUAUGCAUCAUCUCAGCAACUGCCAGUUCCAACCCUGUGAAAGAAAGAAUCUAGAAACUGCCUCAGAAGGAAACACUUGCUUCUCCAAAUCCAGUAACGGUCUACUGAGAAGAUGGAAUGAGGGUACUAUUACUGUGGUGCUGUCUGUAGCCUCACUUUUAGCCUAAGCAUGGAGUUGAUGCAGUGAAAUAUAGGACAGAUAAAACAUGGACCAGAAAAUUUAUGCCCUAAUCUGAUGAACUCAUUGGAAGCAAUGUUUCAGAUGGACCCUACUGCAGUGGCCUCCUUUCAGUGGGAAGACAUCCUGGAUAUAAACACAACAGUGGAUUUGAAAUCCCUAUGAAGUAUAAGAAACACAUCAGUAAUAAUGGAAGCCACAGCAUGUUGGUCCCAAGCCCGUACAAGUCUAUGGAGCUGCAGCAUUAAGCAUCGUCACCUGCUACAGUAUCCCAGGGGCUGUUCAUAGAAGCUGUCAACUGUCACUCGUUUCCAAGACCAUUUUUCCAACCUUGCCUUUGUUAUCAACAACAACAACAAAAAUGAAAUUCUACUUCUGCUG